rnacentral:lncRNA from 1 species
GAUUAUGAAUGAAAUGAAUUGAUAUUUUCUUCCCCAAUUAUCCUCUUCUCCUUUAAACCCUUCUUCUUCUUCUCUACUACUACUCCCUCUCAUCUCUCCCCACUCUUCUUUAUUACUUCUAAAACCCUACUCUCUUCCUCACAAUCUCACUCCCUAUCUCUCUCUAUUUCUCUACUUCCUCUUCUCUUUCACAAACUUACCUCCAAAUCACCCCAAAUCAUCCGGUAGCUUGGUUACCUCGGAUAAGCGACAGACAGCCACCCGGGACAUAACAGCGCCUUGACCUCUCUACGUCGCCCGUGUCCGCUUGCUACCGGUUCUUCCGCCUUCCGGCCGCCGUCAGUCAACCCUAGCUCUCCCCUG